GGGUUGUGAGGUUAAGCGACUAAGCGUACACGGUGGAUGCCCUGGCAGUCAGAGGCGAUGAAGGACGUGCUAAUCUGCGAUAAGCGUCGGUAAGGUGAUAUGAACCGUUAUAACCGGCGAUUUCCGAAUGGGGAAACCCAGUGUGAUUCGUCACACUAUCAUUAACUGAAUCCAUAGGUUAAUGAGGCGAACCGGGGGAACUGAAACAUCUAAGUACCCCGAGGAAAAGAAAUCAACCGAGAUUCCCCCAGUAGCGGCGAGCGAACGGGGAGGAGCCCAGAGCCUGAAUCAGUGUGUGUGUUAGUGGAAGCGUCUGGAAAGGCGCGCGAUACAGGGUGACAGCCCCGUACACAAAAAUGCACAUAUUGUGAGCUCGAUGAGUAGGGCGGGACACGUGGUAUCCUGUCUGAAUAUGGGGGGACCAUCCUCCAAGGCUAAAUACUCCUGACUGACCGAUAGUGAACCAGUACCGUGAGGGAAAGGCGAAAAGAACCCCGGCGAGGGGAGUGAAAAAGAACCUGAAACCGUGUACGUACAAGCAGUGGGAGCACGCUUCGGCGUGUGACUGCGUACCUUUUGUAUAAUGGGUCAGCGACUUAUAUUCUGUAGCAAGGUUAACCGAAUAGGGGAGCCGAAGGGAAACCGAGUCUUAACUGGGCGUUAAGUUGCAGGGUAUAGACCCGAAACCCGGUGAUCUAGCCAUGGGCAGGUUGAAGGUUGGGUAACACUAACUGGAGGACCGAACCGACUAAUGUUGAAAAAUUAGCGGAUGACUUGUGGCUGGGGGUGAAAGGCCAAUCAAACCGGGAGAUAGCUGGUUCUCCCCGAAAGCUAUUUAGGUAGCGCCUCGUGAAUUCAUCUCCGGGGGUAGAGCACUGUUUCGGCAAGGGGGUCAUCCCGACUUACCAACCCGAUGCAAACUGCGAAUACCGGAGAAUGUUAUCACGGGAGACACACGGCGGGUGCUAACGUCCGUCGUGAAGAGGGAAACAACCCAGACCGCCAGCUAAGGUCCCAAAGUCAUGGUUAAGUGGGAAACGAUGUGGGAAGGCCCAGACAGCCAGGAUGUUGGCUUAGAAGCAGCCAUCAUUUAAAGAAAGCGUAAUAGCUCACUGGUCGAGUCGGCCUGCGCGGAAGAUGUAACGGGGCUAAACCAUGCACCGAAGCUGCGGCAGCGACGCUGAUGCGUUGUUGGGUAGGGGAGCGUUCUGUAAGCCUGCGAAGGUGUGCUGUGAGGCAUGCUGGAGGUAUCAGAAGUGCGAAUGCUGACAUAAGUAACGAUAAAGCGGGUGAAAAGCCCGCUCGCCGGAAGACCAAGGGUUCCUGUCCAACGUUAAUCGGGGCAGGGUGAGUCGACCCCUAAGGCGAGGCCGAAAGGCGUAGUCGAUGGGAAACAGGUUAAUAUUCCUGUACUUGGUGUUACUGCGAAGGGGGGACGGAGAAGGCUAUGUUGGCCGGGCGACGGUUGUCCCGGUUUAAGCGUGUAGGCUGGUUUUCCAGGCAAAUCCGGAAAAUCAAGGCUGAGGCGUGAUGACGAGGCACUACGGUGCUGAAGCAACAAAUGCCCUGCUUCCAGGAAAAGCCUCUAAGCAUCAGGUAACAUCAAAUCGUACCCCAAACCGACACAGGUGGUCAGGUAGAGAAUACCAAGGCGCUUGAGAGAACUCGGGUGAAGGAACUAGGCAAAAUGGUGCCGUAACUUCGGGAGAAGGCACGCUGAUAUGUAGGUGAAGUCCCUCGCGGAUGGAGCUGAAAUCAGUCGAAGAUACCAGCUGGCUGCAACUGUUUAUUAAAAACACAGCACUGUGCAAACACGAAAGUGGACGUAUACGGUGUGACGCCUGCCCGGUGCCGGAAGGUUAAUUGAUGGGGUCAGCGCAAGCGAAGCUCUUGAUCGAAGCCCCGGUAAACGGCGGCCGUAACUAUAACGGUCCUAAGGUAGCGAAAUUCCUUGUCGGGUAAGUUCCGACCUGCACGAAUGGCGUAAUGAUGGCCAGGCUGUCUCCACCCGAGACUCAGUGAAAUUGAACUCGCUGUGAAGAUGCAGUGUACCCGCGGCAAGACGGAAAGACCCCGUGAACCUUUACUAUAGCUUGACACUGAACAUUGAGCCUUGAUGUGUAGGAUAGGUGGGAGGCUUUGAAGUGUGGACGCCAGUCUGCAUGGAGCCGACCUUGAAAUACCACCCUUUAAUGUUUGAUGUUCUAACGUUGACCCGUGAUCCGGGUUGCGGACAGUGUCUGGUGGGUAGUUUGACUGGGGCGGUCUCCUCCUAAAGAGUAACGGAGGAGCACGAAGGUUGGCUAAUCCUGGUCGGACAUCAGGAGGUUAGUGCAAUGGCAUAAGCCAGCUUGACUGCGAGCGUGACGGCGCGAGCAGGUGCGAAAGCAGGUCAUAGUGAUCCGGUGGUUCUGAAUGGAAGGGCCAUCGCUCAACGGAUAAAAGGUACUCCGGGGAUAACAGGCUGAUACCGCCCAAGAGUUCAUAUCGACGGCGGUGUUUGGCACCUCGAUGUCGGCUCAUCACAUCCUGGGGCUGAAGUAGGUCCCAAGGGUAUGGCUGUUCGCCAUUUAAAGUGGUACGCGAGCUGGGUUUAGAACGUCGUGAGACAGUUCGGUCCCUAUCUGCCGUGGGCGCUGGAGAACUGAGGGGGGCUGCUCCUAGUACGAGAGGACCGGAGUGGACGCAUCACUGGUGUUCGGGUUGUCAUGCCAAUGGCACUGCCCGGUAGCUAAAUGCGGAAGAGAUAAGUGCUGAAAGCAUCUAAGCACGAAACUUGCCCCGAGAUGAGUUCUCCCUGACUCCUUGAGAGUCCUGAAGGAACGUUGAAGACGACGACGUUGAUAGGCCGGGUGUGUAAGCGCAGCGAUGCGUUGAGCUAACCGGUACUAAUGAACCGUGAGGCUUAACCUUACAACGCCGAAG
rnacentral:rRNA from 1 species